rnacentral:rRNA from 1 species
CCUACGGGAGGCAGCAGUGGGGAAUCUUGCGCAAUGGGCGAAAGCCUGACGCAGCAACGCCGCGUGCGGGAAGAAGGCUUUCGGGCUGUAAACCGCUUUCAGCAGGAACGAAAAUGACGGUACCUGCAGAAGAAGGAGCGGCCAACUAUGUGCCAGCAGCCGCGGUGAUACAUAGGCUUCAAGCGUUGUCCGGAUUUAUUGGGCGUAAAGAGUUCGUAGGCGGUCAAGUAAGUCGGGUGUGAAAAUUCUGGGCUCAACCCAGAGACGCCACCCGAUACUGCUUAACUUGAGUUCGAUAGGGGAGUGGGGAAUUCCUAGUGUAGCGGUGAAAUGCGCAGAUAUUAGGAGGAACACCGGUGGCGAAGGCGCCACUCUGGAUCGAUACUGACGCUGAGGAACGAAAGCAUGGGUAGCAAACAGGAUUAGAUACCCUGGUAGUCCAUGCCGUAAACGGUGGGCACUAGGUGUGGGUUUCUAUUAACGAAAUCCGCGCCGUCGCUAACGCAUUAAGUGCCCCGCCUGGGGAGGUACGGUCGCGAGACGUAAACUACAAGAAGUAGUAACGGCGUGAGAGUGCGAGACGACGACGAGGGAGAGG